rnacentral:rRNA from 1 species
AGAACGAACGCUGGCGGCAUGCCUAACACAUGCAAGUCGAACGAGACCUUCGGGUCUAGUGGCGCACGGGUGCGUAACGCGUGGGAAUCUGCCCUUAGGUUCGGAAUAACAGUUAGAAAUGACUGCUAAUACCGGAUAAUGUCUUCGGACCAAAGAUUUAUCGCCAAAGGAUGAGCCCGCGUAAGAUUAGCUAGUUGGUGGGGUAAAAGCCUACCAAGGCGACGAUCUUUAGCUGGUCUGAGAGGAUGAUCAGCCACACUGGGACUGAGACACGGCCCAGACUCCUACGGGAGGCAGCAGUGGGGAAUAGUUGGACAAGUGGGGGCAACCCGUGAUCC